UUAAAUUACGUUUCUUCAUCUGCAGUGCCCAGGCGAGAUGUGCUAGCAAGAUGUCAAUGUCGAACCAAUGCAAUGAUAUUUAUUUUACCAAAGAGCACCUUCUGUCUACCAAAACCUACUAUUGUGUACCUAAGUAGCGCUUCCCUUUUGUUCCUGCAAAUACAUUUUUUUGGCUUGGUAUAUGAGCUGCUUUUUCUGAAAAUGUCUCAUACUGUAUCUAGCUUGUUGUUGUUAUAUUGUCCAUUAAAUGUUACAGCCACAACAUCAAGAUCAUGUCGUCUGUAGACCAGUGAGGAGGAGAAAAGCCUGCUUUGGGUGUGCUAGCUAGAACAACAUCAACCUGCUAGCUAUAUCAGAUAAUCACGUUCAGGCUGAUAUUUCUUCUGUGCAGCAGUCUUGGGGAGCUGCGCAACCGUGCACAGCUUAGAGGGAACAAUGGUCUUCAAUGACAUUUAGGAUAGCUGAUAACCUACAGGUGGCUUACUACAGCUGACAUCCCUAUGAAACAACUGUAGCAGCCCUGGCCCCUCAGAUGAAUGGCACAUGGACAUAGUGUGAAUGCUGCGUACAGUAGAAAUCUGCAAUUGGCUAAGUUUGCUGUCAAUCUCCACCACCACAAACUACAUUU
rnacentral:lncRNA from 1 species